AUCCGGGUUGCGGACAGUGUCUGGUGGGUAGUUUGACUGGGGCGGUCUCCUCCUAAAGAGUAACGGAGGAGCACGAAGGUUGGCUAAUCCUGGUCGGACAUCAGGAGGUUAGUGCAAUGGCAUAAGCCAGCUUGACUGCGAGCGUGACGGCGCGAGCAGGUGCGAAAGCAGGUCAUAGUGAUCCGGUGGUUCUGAAUGGAAGGGCCAUCGCUCAACGGAUAAAAGGUACUCCGGGGAUAACAGGCUGAUACCGCCCAAGAGUUCAUAUCGACGGCGGUGUUUGGCACCUCGAUGUCGGCUCAUCACAUCCUGGGGCUGAAGUAGGUCCCAAGGGUAUGGCUGUUCGCCAUUUAAAGUGGUACGCGAGCUGGGUUUAGAACGUCGUGAGACAGUUCGGUCCCUAUCUGCCGUGGGCGCUGGAGAACUGAGGGGGGCUGCUCCUAGUACGAGAGGACCGGAGUGGACGCAUCACUGGUGUUCGGGUUGUCAUGCCAAUGGCACUGCCCGGUAGCUAAAUGCGGAAGAGAUAAGUGCUGAAAGCAUCUAAGCACGAAACUUGCCCCGAGAUGAGUUCUCCCUGAGACUUAGAGUCUCCUGAAGGAACGUUGAAGACGACGA
rnacentral:rRNA from 2 species